UACGGGGGGGGCAAGCGUUGUUCGGAAUUACUGGGCGUAAAGGGCUCGUAGGUGGCCAACUAAGUCAUACGUGAAAUCCCUCGGCUUAACCGGGGAACUGCGUCUGAUACUGGAUGGCUUGAGUUUGGGAGAGGGAUGCGGAAUUCCAGGUGUAGCGGUGAAAUGCGUAGAUAUCUGGAGGAACACCGGUGGCGAAGGCGGCAUCCUGGACCAAUACUGACGCUGAGGAGCGAAAGCCAGGGGAGCAAACGGG
rnacentral:rRNA from 1 species